rnacentral:rRNA from 1 species
UACGGAGGGUGCAAGCGUUGCUCGGAAUUAUUGGGCGUAAAGGGCUCGUAGGCGGACCGGCAAGUCUGACGUGAAAUCUCCACUGCUUAACAGGGAGAGGCCGUUGGAUACUACCGAUCUUGAGUAUGGUAGAGGACCAUGGAAUUCCGCGUGUAGCGGUGGAAUGCGUAGAUAUGCGGAAGAACACCGGUGGCGAAGGCGGUGGUCUGGGCCAUUACGUGACGCUGAGGAGCGAAAGCCAGGGGAGCAAACGGG